GAAUGAGAAAACGAGAGAGCUCGCUUUUCGAGCCGUCGAUCGUUUCACGUCUUAUUCCAUACGUCGCGCGUGAUGAAGCGGAUGGUUAAUUUCGUAAACUUGGCAGAGGGUGAGCGCACAGACAGUUCGACACUCGUGGCACGAUCCUGAUGUUCAAAUAGCGCUAAAAUAUGGAACGGUCCCGUCCAGGCUGGUCACCUCCUCGAUCACGAUGCUCUGAGGAGUGCCCGGAAGAGCCAGGGGCUCCCUGAUGCUGCCCUCGCUGGAAAUCAUCGAGGGGUACGCAUCCUCGGUGCUCUUCGAGGUCUUUACUGCGUCAUCCAGAGAUUCCUUCAAUAAGAUUGAAUUGACUUCACCAUUUGUUACAUCGAAAAGAGGCAGCGGAACAGAAUCAUGAAAUUCGCUGGUAUGCUG